AACAGGAUUAGAUACCCUGGUAGUCCACGCCGUAAACGAUGUCGACUUGGAGGUUGUGCCCUUGAGGCGUGGCUUCCGGAGCUAACGCGUUAAGUCGACCGCCUGGGGAGUACGGCCGCAAGGUUAAAACUCAAAUGAAUUGACGGGGGCCCGCACAAGCGGUGGAGCAUGUGGUUUAAUUCGAUGCAACGCGAAGAACCUUACCUACUCUUGACAUCCAGAGAACUUAGCAGAGAUGCUUUGGUGCCUUCGGGAACUCUGAGACAGGUGCUGCAUGGCUGUCGUCAGCUCGUGUUGUGAAAUGUUGGGUUAAGUCCCGCAACGAGCGCAACCCUUAUCCUUUGUUGCCAGCGGUCCGGCCGGGAACUCAAAGGAGACUGCCAGUGAUAAACUGGAGGAAGGUGGGGAUGACGUCAAGUCAUCAUGGCCCUUACGAGUAGGGCUACACACGUGCUACAAUGGCGCAUACAAAGAGAAGCGGCCUCGCGAGAGCAAGCGGACCUCAUAAAGUGCGUCGUGGUCCGGAUUGGAGUCUGCAACUCGACUCCAUGAAGUCGGAAUCGCUAGUAAUCGUGGAUCAGAAUGCCACGGUGAAUACGUUCCCGGGCCUUGUACACACCGCCCGUCACACCAUGGGAGUGGGUUGCAAAAGAAGUAGGUAGCUUAACCUUCGGGAGGGCGCUUACCACUUUGUGAUUCAUGACUGGGGUGAAGUCGUAACAAGGUAACC
rnacentral:rRNA from 1 species